rnacentral:lncRNA from 1 species
GGGCUCUGGAGCGCUCUUGGGCCUCCAGGCUGGCCACCCUGAGGGCAGGCUCCAUGCAGGUGACUCAGGGUCCCCCAGCCAUGCAGGAAGAGCCUCCUGCCAUCAUCUGUCCCUGGCAGCCACACGAUGUGGAGACAUCGCAUCUCUCAAUUAGUGUCUGCUGCAUGAAUCUGGAAGUGGGUUCUCAUGUCUGAGUUUGCUUUAAAAUAUUUCAGCAAAACCAUCAGAAAAGCAGAGGGCAUAGGGACAAGGUGAAUAAGAACACUGGCUUCGGGGCAGUCGUCAAAGGCGAGUGACGAAUUGGAAGAAGGAACAUCAUUGCACGGUUCUGUUAUUUUUAGGUUUGGAAAUAUCCUUGAUAAGAAGUUAGAAAAAAGAAACAAUGAAACGAAAGUGACUAAUGGUGACCUCGGUUUCCUCACCUGGAAGAAUGGGAGUAGCAGGAAGUAUCAGUUCCAGCUCUGGAGUUAAUACCUCCCUGGGUUACACUCAGACCUCAAUGAGAUCAGUGUGAAAACUGGCUUUACAAACAUCAGGCUUUUAAAUUACGUGGUCUGAAUCAUGACAAGCCUGAACUAUAGAAGACGAUCAAGAAGGUAGUGUUAAGAUUUGCAAAUGUAGUGUGUGCGCAGAAUAGUGGCUUCCCAAAGAUGUCCCCGUCCCAACCCCUGGACCUGUAAGUUACCUGGGGACCAUCGAGGUUUCGGAUCCCUGCCUAUCCCAGAUGCCCUAGCCCAGCGUAGCCACGAGCAUUGGGCAAAGUUGGGGGGAGGCAGGAGUGGAGCUUGGUGAGAUGGCAGGGUGAGAAGGACUCGGGCGUGGAGUGGGGGCCAC